GUAGGUGAACCUGCGGAAGGAUCAUUAUCACGUAUCCACGUAUAAACCAAACGCGAACUGUGUAAACACCUUCAGAUCUUGAUGCUGAGUAGUGUCUGUUGGCUUCUGGUGGAUUUGACAACGACUACUCAAUUGUUGACUGCUUUCGGGCUAUCAUCUAAAAUGGCGCUUGAUCUGAUUGUAUCCAAACCUCACCAUUUUCAUCAAUAAUUCAUUUUAUUGAUGAUUAUUAACCACUUGAACCACAAUCGUUUUUCUUUGUUUGACCUGAAUUGUUUCUUACUCUGGCGCCUUCGGCUUCGGAGAAGAAAUUCUUUACGAAACAAAAGAACAACUCUUAGCAACGGAUAUCUUGGUUCUC
rnacentral:misc_RNA from 1 species